ACACACACACACACACAGACGCUUCCCUCCAGCCGUGGGCAGGAUUCAUCAGGGCCGAAAUGCAGAGCCGUGAAGUGUUAAUUUAGCGCUCCUGCUGGCAGAGAGGCUGCUUGGGGAAGGAGAGGGUUGCAGAUCCAGGAAGCCUGGAAUCGUUGGGCAUAAGACAAGAAUACCCCCUGGACAAGGCGCCAGUCCAUCACAGGCCUGCCAUCGACAGCGGCGUGUUUCCUCCGUAACAAGGAAUAGCAGAAGUCAUUGACAAAGUAAGCACUGUUGGAGUGACUAAAGGCCUCAGUGUUGCAGUACACUGCCCGGAGGCAUCCGUGAAAGCUUAUUAUCCCAACUUAGGCCUGAAAGUGAACUGUGAGGCUGCGCCAAACCCCAGCAGGAAGCUAACAGACUGUGCCAGAGGAGGCCCCCUGAGGGCCCGAGGGCAUUGUGUCAAGGCCUUGUCUACUUCACACAUAUUAAGGAUCACAUGCCACAAUUUCACACCUCGGUAGGGGAGAGGGUAAACUGCACCCCCGCCCCCUUUUCCCUUUUGGCAGUGAGUUGGGCAGAAGUGACAUUUAUUGCCUGUUAGCUGUUAACAAGUGAGUUCAAGGUCAGUGUUGUUAGUCAGCGUUGAUUAGCGCAUUCAGCGGCGUGAACCGGGCCCCGUUUACGCCGUACACGUUGAGGGUUACGGCAGCAGGUUGUUUUCAGUAGAUUUUUUUUGUUAUUUUUUUUGUGUGUGACAUGCAUACACCCUGUUGAGGAAGAAAGAAGCUAUUGACUGCUCAGUUGUGCAGGGGGUGCAUUUUUCUGCACUCCACUUCAGGGGUUGGAGACAUUUCUACUGUCAUUUUCCUCCAGUCCUUCAGAGUAAUUCUUUUCUCCCCCUCCAUUUCUGCAGCAGUGCACUGUGUGGCGGCCUGAAUUGUGUGUUAUUACCCAGCUGGAGACAAUAUCAUUACUACAUAUUUGCUGUCAAGGGUCUGCAAAGAAUGGUGCCGUCGCGGGCCUCGGUGAUCUAACAAGCUCACACAGUGCUCCUGAAUUACCCACUCCUAUAGGGAGGAAGUCAAACACUAGCCGCUUGAGAGCUCCGCAGCCUGCUGCCGCCUUUGACGUCUGCCUGUGUGUCCUCAGGAGAAGAGGAAAGGAGAGAGAGGGAGAGAGAAAGAGAGAGGGAGAGAAAGAGGGAAAAAAAAACAGCCAUUGUCUUCAGCUGAUUCCGGGCAACAGUUCAGAUACAGAAAGGGCACUGAGCCAAGUCAUCUGCAGCAAGAGAGUCCUCAGCAAAGGCAAGGCAACAAAACACACACACUCACACACACACACAUACAGAAACAGACAUUUGUUAGUGUCUUGAAGCCAGAGGAUGGGGCUGGAUGGGAAAACUGCGUUUUUUUAUAGGGUUGUUGGAGAGUAAGAGA